ensembl:snRNA U6 U6 spliceosomal RNA
GUGCUCGAUUUGGCAGCACAUAUACUAAAAUUGGAAUGAUACAGAGAAGAUUAGCAUGGACCCUGCGCAAGAAUGACAUGCAAAUUUGUGAAGCAUUCCAUAUUGUU